UGGGGAAUCUUAGACAAUGGGGGAAACCCUGAUCUAGCCAUGCCGCGUGAGCGAUGAAGGCCUUAGGGUUGUAAAGCUCUUUCAGCUGGGAAGAUAAUGACGGUACCAGCAGAAGAAGCCCCGGCUAACUCCGUGCCAGCAGCCGCGGUAAUACGGAGGGGGUUAGCGUUGUUCGGAAUUACUGGGCGUAAAGCGCACGUAGGCGGAUUAGUCAGUCAGAGGUGAAAUCCCAGGGCUCAACCCUGGAACUGCCUUUGAUACUGCUAGUCUUGAGGUCGAGAGAGGUGAGUGGAAUUCCGAGUGUAGAGGUGAAAUUCGUAGAUAUUCGGAGGAACACCAGUGGCGAAGGCGGCUCACUGGCUCGAUACUGACGCUGAGGUGCGAAAGCGUGGGGAGCAAAACAGGAUUAGAUACCCUGGUAGUCCACGCCGUAAACGAUGAAUGCCAGUCGUCGGGUUGCAUGCAAUUCGGUGACACACCUAACGGAUUAAGCAUUCCGCCUGGGGAGUACGGUCGCAAGAUUAAAACUUAAAUGAAUUGACGGGGUCAUAGCUGUUUCCUG
rnacentral:rRNA from 1 species